rnacentral:rRNA from 1 species
GGGCCCGCACAAGCGGUGGAGCAUGUGGUUUAAUUCGAUGAUACGCGAGGAACCUUACCAGGGCUUAAAUGUAAGUUGCAUAAGCUAGAGAUAGCUUUUUCUUCGGACUACUUACAAGGUGCUGCAUGGUUGUCGUCAGCUCGUGCCGUGAGGUGUCAGGUUAAGUCCUAUAACGAGCGCAACCCCUGUUGUUAGUUGCCAUCGAGUAAUGUCGGGAACUCUAACAAGACUGCCGGUGCAAACCGUGAGGAAGGUGGGGAUGACGUCAAAUCAUCACGGCCCUUACGUCCUGGGCUACACACGUGCUACAAUGGCCGGUACAGAGAGCAGCCACUACGCGAGUAGGAGCGAAUCUAUAAAACCGGUCUCAGUUCGGAUUGGAGUCUGCAACUCGACUCUAUGAAGCUGGAAUCGCUAG